rnacentral:rRNA from 1 species
ACUCGAGUGGCGAACGGGUGAGUAACACGUGGGUGAUCUGCCCUGCACUCUGGGAUAAGCCUGGGAAACUGGGUCUAAUACCGGAUAGGACCAUGCUUUAGUGUGUGUGGUGGAAAGUUUUUCGGUGUAGGAUGAGCCCGCGGCCUAUCAGCUUGUUGGUGGGGUAAUGGCCUACCAAGGCGGCGACGGGUAGCCGGACUGAGAGGGUGUACGGCCACAUUGGGACUGAGAUACGGCCCAG